GUGUUUUUCAUAGUAUUAGAUAUAAGAUUAAUUAAAAGAGACGUACCCGCUUGUGAUAAGUAAGUACAUCAAAAACAGAAGCGUCUGUUUGAUUGAUAAAUGUGUAAGGAGCAUCGGUUUACCAGAGCCGAUGCUUUUUUU
rnacentral:sRNA from 1 species